rnacentral:misc_RNA from 1 species
GAUGAAGAACGUAGCGAAAUGCGAUAAGUAAUGCGAAUUGCAGAAUCCGUGAGUCAUCGAAUCUUUGAACGCACAUUGCGCCCUCUGGUAUUCCGGAGGGCAUGCCUGUUCGAGCGUCAUUAUCACCCCUCAAGCCCGGCUUGUUGUUGGAUGCAGCGCUUAUCCCGCUCCUCCCAAAGAUAAUGACGGCGUCUGCGACGACUCCUGUACACUGAGCUUUCAGGCACGUACACGGCUAGAAGUCCAGACCCGGUCGCCGUCCCCCCCGCGGGGACACCCAUUACCACAAGGUUGACCUCGGAUCAGGUAGGAAUACCCGCUGAACUUAAGCAUAUCAAUAAGCGGAGGA